UACGUAGGGUGCGAGCGUUACUCGGAAUUACUGGGCGUAAAGCGUGCGCAGGCGGUUCGUUAAGUCAGCUGUGAAAGCCCCGAGCUUAACUUGGGAAUUGCGGUUGAAACUGGCGGACUAGAAUCUGGCAGAGGGGGGUGGAAUUCCGGGUGUAGCGGUGGAAUGCGUAGAGAUCCGGAAGAACACCGGUGGCGAAGGCGGUCUGCUGGGGUAAUGCUGACACUGAUGCGCGACAGCGUGGGGAGCAAACGGG
rnacentral:rRNA from 1 species